rnacentral:rRNA from 1 species
AUAUUGCACUAUAGGGGAAACCCUGCUGCAGCGACGCCGCGUGAGCGAAGAAGGCCUUCCGGUCGUAAAGCUCUGUCCUAAGGGUGGAAACGGAGGGUACCUUAGGAGGAAGCCCCGGCUAACUACGUGCCAGCAGCCGCGGGAAGACGGAGGGGGCGAGCGGUAUCCGGAAUUAUUGGGCGUAAAGGGUGCGUAGGCGGCAUUUUAAGUCAGAUGUGAAAGGCUACGGCUUAAACGUAGUUAGCAUUUGAAACUAAAAGGCUUGAGUGCAGGAGAGGAGAGUGGAAUUCCUAGUGUAGCGGUGAAAUGCGUAGAUAUUAGGAGGAACACCAGUGGCGAAGGCGACUCUCUGGACUGCAACUGACGCUGAGGCACGAAAGCGUGGGGAGCGAACAG